GCAACCUGCCCCAGGCUUUGGGAUAACCCCGGGAAACCGGGGCUAAUACCGAAUAUUACCUCUGAUCGCAUGGUUGGUGGUGGAAAGUUUUUCGGCUUGGGAUGGGCUCGCGGCCUAUCAGCUUGUUGGUGGGGUGAUGGCCUACCAAGGCGACGACGGGUAGCCGGCCUGAGAGGGCGACCGGCCACACUGGGACUGAGACACGGCCCAGACUCCUACGGGAGGCAGCAGUGGGGAAUAUUGCACAAUGGGCGGAAGCCUGAUGCAGCGACGCCGCGUGAGGGAUGACGGCCUUCGGGUUGUAAACCUCUUUCAGCAGGGACGAAGCGUAAGUGACGGUACCUGCAGAAGAAGCGCCGGCCAACUACGUGCCAGCAGCCGCGGUAAGACGUAGGGCGCGAGCGUUGUCCGGAUUUAUUGGGCGUAAAGAGCUCGUAGGCGGCUUGUCGCGUCGACCGUGAAAACCUGGGGCUCAACUCCAGGCCUGCGGUCGAUACGGGCAGGCUAGAGUUCGGUAGGGGAGACUGGAAUUCCUGGUGUAGCGGUGAA
rnacentral:rRNA from 1 species